CUUUGCGAUCUGCAGCCUUGUCGGUCUUAUUUUCAUGUUAACACCAUGAAUGUCUUGGAUGAGUGGCUGUGGAAACGUUAUUCCUGUCCUCACUUUGCCAUGCAAACAUCAACAGCUAACCCCUAUAGACCCUCAAGGUCUAUAAAGAAUAAAGUUAGAGCAAAAUUACACCUUGAAGUGAUAAAUUGAAAGUCAAAAUACAGUUUGGCGAAGAAAAAGUCAUGUCAACUUUGAUACAGUCCAAAUAGAGCUGAAAUCUGAUGGUGUGUCUCAGGAGCCAACUAGAGAUACAGAUGUGGGAUUUUUCUAAUGUGCUGGUUAGGCCUGUCACGAUAACAAAUUUUGCUGGACGAUAAUUGUGCUACAAAUUAUUGCCGAUAAACGAUAUUAUUGACACCGUUUUUUAAAUUGUAGAUAAUGAUAUUAAAUGGCAUAAUAAUGCGAGUACACCGUGUCAAAAGUGAUAAACUUUAAUUUCACCCACGACGAAGACGUAACGUUGACGAGCUAAACAUAAGUCGGAGAUGACUAAAAUGUGACGAGACGAAAGUGCGUUUACGUUGAUGGGACGAGACGAAAAUGACGAACAGAGUUGCAAAACUCAGUCAGUUAAACGCUAAACAUAUAGGAGCAGCUUCAGUCCGCUCUGUUAGCUCUCAUCACCCUGCUGUGCUCCUCCAACACAGACACACACGCGCGCGCACACACACGUGGAGUUUUGUGGUUGACGAAAACAAAACUGGUUUAAAGCCGAAAUAUUCCCACACUUGGGCUGUUGCGUUCGGUUUAGACACCAAAGCUGUCGUGUUCAUUCUGUUUGCUUGCUUUUCACUCACGACGCUCACUUGCAGCACUGUAUCCAAAAGUCUGUGUCUGUGUGCCUGUGCGCGCCAGCCCCCUCGUGACAAAGACACUGAAUUACUGACAGGAGGGUUCACUAACUCCGUUCAUUCCGCUAUAGAGCCAACGCCCCCAGGUGCCGAGAACAAUGCGCAGAGUGAGACCUCUUCUCUCAACCAGCGUGUUUGGUAGCGAGAGAGGAGGAAAACAAACGCACGUCAAUUAUCGAGGCUGGCAAAAUGACCGACCUCGUUUUUAUUUAUCGAGCGAUAAGGCGAUUUAUUGAUUAUCGCGACAGGCCUAGUGCUGGUAAUGCAUCAGAAAUAGUUGACAUAACUUGAAUUCAAAAAUUAAAGUUUAUUCACUACAAAAUUUUAUGAGAGGGCUCAACACCAAUAAACACUGUAAUCCCAUGCUCAGUUUUUCAGCAUUUAAUUAGCUUUAUUUCAAGUUCAACCGUCUGCACACUGUUGACUGGUGUUUUAAAACACAUACAUCUCAUUUUUUUUUGCGUAUACUUACAUCCUCCCCUUAGCUUUGUGCUAAGUUUUCAGCUGCUUAAUAAAAAUGUUCCUCAAGCUUCUAUAAAAAUAUGAACACUAAGCUUUGUUCAUGCUUUAAGUCUAUGUAAUUCUAACAACUUCCAAAGGGCGUCCAUUUUCACAACUUUGAGAAACAUCUGCACUCACAUCUGCACACACACACACACGCACGCACGCACGCACACACACACGCAUACAGGCUUACCUGACCAACAGUGGACUUCUAUUUCUGGUCAUUUUAAUAAAACAAAAAUAUGAUAGAAAGUUUUCUUUUAAGGUCUUUUGUCAUAAUGUUACUUGAAAUGUGACUUUUAUCUUUUUUUUUUUUAAUUGCCAAGAGGGUUCCUGGAUCCUUGAGUGAGAUCUACCUGUCUAACCGGGGACCUCCAUAUAAGGCAGUGGAGCUGUCUGAACCCACUCACUCUGCUGAUGAGAGCUUGUUUACCACAAUGACUUUCUUUGUUUCUUUCAAGAAUGGCUGAUUUAACUUAGGAGAAAAACAUUUCCCAUUCUUUGGCAGAUUUCUUAAGUUUAGUUUAGUUUAGUUCAGUUUAGUUUAGUUUAUUGUUUAUUUAGAUGGGACAGUGAACAUUCAUUGGUCUGUUCACAAUACAGAGCACUGUAAUCUUGAUUGCUAGAAAUAAUAUACAGUAUACAAUAUGAUAAAAAUACUAGGAAAAGUGCUAAAUUAAUCAGGAGUUAGCUAAAAAGAGCAGCAAAUGUGGAGCCCUAAUAGCUAAUGGCAGUUUGUUCCAGCUGGCACAGCCUUUGAUGGACCAGGUAUUUUGUGCUAGAACUGCUUAUCUAAAUUUUAAACUUCAAGAUUCCCUCUCCUCAUAACAGUUUUACUAUAUACUUUUAAACACUUAGAUUUUCAUUCACCAUUAUACAGUAGUUCUUUGUUUGAAACUCUGUGAUAAACUGUAAGUAAAUACUGAGUCCCCUCUUUGUCUGAACAAAAUGACAAAGGUGCUCUGUUGAAUGGUAUGGAGUGAUGCUCACUCCCAGAGUGUAACUGACACUCCUAGAGUUUCAGCGUAAUGACUGACUCACAUCCUCAAACAAAAACCUGACUGAGAUGUGCUACGCAACUUUAUCCCUCGUCAUUUAUGUAUCCUGUUGCUGCAGUGUUUUAAAAAAUCCUUUUGGUACUAAUUUAGUGGGUGUAUAUAUGGAUAAAAGGUAAUAAUAAUAAUAAUAAUAAUAAUACAUUUUAUUUGAAGCGCCUUUCACGUCACUCAAGGACACUUUACAGAACAUAUAAAACAAUAAUAAAACACUAUUAACAAUUAAAAUCAUCAAUCAUCAAAACAGUUAAAAUCAACAAAGCAACAUUAAAACAUGAACAACAGCAAAGGAAUAAAUAAAGAAAUGAAUAAUAGCAAUUGAAAUUUAAUUUAGAAAAGUGAGUUAGGGGUGGUGGGAGGGAUAGGCCAGUUUAAACAGGUGUGUCUUGAGUUUGGACUUGAAGAGGGGGAGGGAGUCUAUGUUGCGGAUGUGUGAUGGUAAAGAUUUCCAGAGUCGGGGUGCAGAGUGACUGAAAGCUCUGCCCCCCAUGGUGCUGAGGUGAACAGGGGGCACAGUGAGGUGGAGAGAGGAAGAGGACCGGAGGCGGCGUGAUGGAGUGGCGAUGUGGAGGAGGUCAGACAGAUAAGGAGGGGCGAGGUUGUGGAUGGCUUUAAAGGUAUACAGUAGGAUUUUGAACUGGACUUGAAAUGGGACUGGGAGCCAGUGGAGCUGCUGUAUGAUUGGGGUGAUGUGGUGGGACGAAGGGGUUUUGGUGAUGAUCCGGGCAGCGGAGUUGUGGACCAGUUGAAGUUUAUGGAGAGACGUGUGAGGGAGACCG
rnacentral:lncRNA from 1 species